UAAUAGUAACCACUAGAAUUGAUCAGCUAAAAUAUAACAUUAUUCAACCGCUAAACAACCAAGAAAAAUACCAGUUGAACUAGACAGAGGAGAUUUCCUAUAAGCAACUGAGAAAAUAAGAUGGAUAGCUCCUAAAGCAUUUGAAAAUAAAGAGUUUGUGGGUUAUGCCAAUUAAGGGCUUCACUACGUGCAUGCAUAUUAGUUUUGAAGAUGUUGCA
rnacentral:lncRNA from 1 species